rnacentral:RNase_P_RNA from 1 species
UGAGUCGGCCAGGUAACCGCAGCAGAGCUUGCUUUGUUGAGGAAGGUCGGGGCUCCACAGGACAGGAUGCUGGCUAACAGCCAGUCGGGGUGACCCGCAGGAAAGUGCCACAGAGAACAGACCGCCGAUGGCUCGGCCCCAGGUUCGCUUGGGAAAACGAGCACAGGUAAGGGUGAAACGGUGCGGUAAGAGCGCACCAGCAGCCAAGGCAACUUGGCUGGCUAGGCAAACCCCAUCCGGAGCAAGGCCAAAGAGGGAGAGAGCGGUCCGUUCGUUGACACUCCCGGGUAGGCCGCAAAGAUGGAUGGUUGCCCAACCGGAUACCCGCAAGGGUCCGGCAGACAGAACCCCGCCUAUUGCCGACUCGCCAU